UCACCAGAUAAGACAGCUGAAUGAUAGUCGGGCUGAAGACUCUACUUGACUAGCUGAGAGGAGGUGCAUGGCCGUCGUCAGUUCGUACUGUGAAGCAUCCUGUUAAGUCAGGCAACGAGCGAGACCCACGCCAACAGUUGCCAGCUCGUCCUCCGGGAUGGUGGGGACACUGUUGGGACCGCCUCUGCUAAAGAGGAGGAAGGAAUGGGCAACGGUAGGUCAGCAUGCCCCGAAUUAUCUGGGCUACACGCGGGCUACAAUGGGUGGGACAAUGGGUAUCGACACCGAAAGGUGAAGGCAAUCUCCUAAACCCAUCCGUAGUUCGGAUUGUGGGCUGCAACUCGCCCACAUGAAGCUGGAAUCUGUAGUAAUCGUGUCUCAAAAUGGCACGGUGAAUAUGUCCCUGCUCCUU
rnacentral:rRNA from 1 species